rnacentral:rRNA from 1 species
AUUGAACGCUGGCGGCAGGCCUAACACAUGCAAGUCGAGCGGAUGAAGGGAGCUUGCUCCUGGAUUCAGCGGCGGACGGGUGAGUAAUGCCUAGGAAUCUGCCUGGUAGUGGGGGAUAACGUCCGGAAACGGGCGCUAAUACCGCAUACGUCCUGAGGGAGAAAGUGGGGGAUCUUCGGACCCCACGCUAUCAGAUGAGCCUAGGUCGGAUUAGCUAGUUGGUGGGGUAAAGGCCUACCAAGGCGACGAUCCGUAACUGGUCUGAGAGGAUGAUCAGUCACACGGGAACUGAGACACGGUCCAGACUCCUACGGGAGGCAGCAGUGGGGAAUAGUGGACAAUGGGCGAAAGCCUGAUCCAGCAAUGCCGCGUGUGUGAAGAAGGUCUUCGGAUUGUAAAGCACUUUAAGUUGGGAGGAAGGGCAGUAAGUUAAUACCUUGCUGUUUUGACGGUACCAACAGAAUAAGCACCGGCUAACUUCGUG